rnacentral:tRNA from 1 species
UCCUUCGUGGUGUAGUGGUCAGCACGCUCGACGCGUAACCGAGAGGUCCGUGGUUCGAUUCCCGGCGAAGGCG